UGCUCAAACCUGUCAAACAAAUUAUAAACUUUUGUGUGAUAUAUUUCAAGACCCCACUUUUCAUAAUUAUUUGCAGUGCUUCGUUUUACCUUCCCUGAAAGUGGGGAUCGGGUCAGAAGCAGCUAAAACUGAAAGCAGCAGGUUCUGCUGGAUCUCUGGAUCGUGUCUCUACCUGGGACUCACCUCUCCGGAUCGCUGGAACAGAAACUGCACGCGCCGUUCGGUUCAGCAAUUUAAAUUGCCUCCACGAGCAUUUUGAUGGCGAUCACGCGCCCCUUUUGAAAUCUCGCUGCCCAAUCUGCGCCAUAAAGGAUCCGUUCUGUUUCUGUCAGCAACAACAGCAGCAGCAGCAGCAGUUCUUGGUCAGUUCUUUAAUCGUCACUGUUUGUGCCGACAAAGUUUGAGGAAUAGGAAGGAGGAGUUGCCACUCCUGGAAGGCAAACGGCGUCAUGUGCAUCCUGAUUUCGGGCCAACUAACACGUGUAGGGUCAGAGGAGGACGGACCCCCCUUCGGUGCACAAGUUCCAGUUUGAGUGGGCGUAACGCUAGGCCAAUCUCGAUAAGAUGCCAUUUCGUUUGAAAAGACAAAGAGUGCCGGAAAUAAUUGUCAGGGGAGGCUGAAUCCUGUGGCUCUGUGGCUACCUGUCUUGACGUGGCUAAUGAAUCGGCUAUCCCUUUUUUCUUUCGGUAAUUAAAAAUUCACAGAGCGAACGGA